AUAGGUUCCUCUGUCCCAUUCUGGGACAUCGGAACCUAAUUAAAGCCGCGAGCGGCGUCAUAGGUUCCGAUGAAGCGGCCGGGGGCGGUAACCCACGGUCACGUAUACCACUGUUGGGGAUUUGGGAAUUGGCCUGGAGUUGUAAGCGUUUUCGUAUAACGGCGUACUUAUCGCGAAGGAUUUUCCUGUGUCAUGAUAGGCCCCUCCCACUUUUCACAGCCUGCUCUAUUUGCCAUAGCAAUGUGCUUCCAUCUAAUAAGAUUCAUCCUACAGUGUUUUGAAGUCAACACGACAUAUCGUCUGUCCACUACAGCUGCUCGUGUAGGACGACCACAGAAGCGGCGCCCUCUGAGAACGCAAGGCAUUGUGGGUAAAUUGGUUAUCGUUUGUUGUUUGGGGCUGUACGGUCAUCAUGUGUAUCAAAUAUGAAGCAGUUUGAACUUUGCACUCUAGAGUUAUAAGCGUUUUCGUAUAACGGCGUAGUUAUGGCGAGGGAUUUUCAUGUGUCAUUAUAGGCCCCUCCCACUGGCCAUGAUGGGUAAAUUGGUUAUCGUUUGUUGUUUAGCUCUGGACAGUGAUCGUGUGUAUCAAAUAUGAAGCAGUUUGAACUUUGCACUCUAGAGUUAUGAGCGUUUUCGUAUAACGGCGUAGUUAUGGCGAGGGAUUUUCCUGUGUCAUGAUAGGCCCCUCCCACUUUUCACAGCCUGCUCUAUUUGCCAUAGCAAUGUGCUUCCAUCUAAUAAGAUUCAUCCUACAGUGUUUUGAAGUCAACACGACAUAUCGUCUGUCCGCUACAGCUGCUCGUGUUGGACGACCACAGAAGCGGCGCCCUCUGAGAACGCAAGGCAUUGAAUUUGCUCCCCUCUGUGUAGGUUCAUCCUACAAUGUUUUGAAGUCAACACGACAUAUCGUCUGUCCGCUACAGCUGCUCGUGUUGGACGACCACAGCAGCGGCACCCUCUGAGAACGCAAGGCAUUGUGGGUAAAUUGGUUAUCGUUUGUUGUUUAGCUCUGGACAGUGAUCGUGUGUAUCAAAAAUGAAGCAGUUUGAACAUUGCAUUCUAGAGUUAUAAGCUUUUUCCUAUUACAGCGUGCUGAUGGCGAAGGAUUUUCCUGUCAUGAUAGGCCCCUCCCCUCUUUUCCACAGCCUGCUCUUUUUGCCAUAGCAAUGUGCUUCCAUCUAAU
rnacentral:lncRNA from 1 species